AUUUGGUCAUUAUUUUCCAUUUUAAGGGAAAAAUUACUCGGUGUGUUACCAAACCCAAACUCACGGAUAGGUGAGACCAUCAUAAGCCGCCUACUUUCUUUUCUGCUGUGUCUGCAUUCGAGUUUCCCACUCCCCCUUGUACCUGUAAGAAUAAAGACAAAGCCGCCCCGUUUAUGGAUCAUUAAAAAUGUUGUCUUGAUGGAAAAUAUUUGCAAUUAAGCUGCUAAAAAGACAAAAUUCAACAAGGUAUAUGAAGGAGUGAGAGCUUAGGUGGUUCAAUCAGAAUGGAUGCUUGCAAUUGCAUUGAGCCGCAAUGGCCGCCAGAUGAUCUGUUAAUGAAAUAUCAAUAUAUUUCCGACUUCUUCAUUGCGCUUGCUUAUUUCUCAACUCCUCCAGAGCUUAUUAACUUGUGGACUUUUACAAUGCAUACGAGAACCGUGGCAAUGGCAAUGACGACUGCUGUGGUAUCACGUGCAACUGCCUUGAUGCUGGUACAUAUUAUUCCUGAUGUAUUGAGUGUCAAAACCCGAGAAUUAUUUUUGAAAAUUAAGGCCGCCGAGCUCGAUAGAGAAAUGGGUCUAAUUCGUACACAAGAGGAAACAUGAGAAUUAUUUUUCAAAA